GACGAACGCUGGCGGCGUGCUUAACACAUGCAAGUCGAACGGAAAGGCCUCUUUCGGGGGGUACUCGAGUGGCGAACGGGUGAGUAACACGUGAGUAACCUGCCCUUGACUUUGGGAUAACUUCAGGAAACUGGGGCUAAUACCGGAUAGGAGCUCCUGCUGCAUGGUGGGGGUUGGAAAGUUUCGGCGGUUGGGGAUGGACUCGCGGCUUAUCAGCUUGUUGGUGGGGUAGUGGCUUACAAAGGCUUUGACGGGUAGCCGGCCUGAGAGGGUGACCGGCCACAUUGGGACUGAGAUACGGCCCAGACUCCUACGGGAGGCAGCAGUGGGGAAUAUUGCACAAUGGGCGGAAGCCUGAUGCAGCAACGCCGCGUGCGGGAUGACGGCCUUCGGGUUGUAAACCGCUUUCGCCUGUGACGAAGCGUGAGUGACGGUAAUGGGUAAAGAAGCACCGGCUAACUACGUG
rnacentral:rRNA from 1 species